UACGGGGGGAGCAAGCGUUUGUUCGGAUUUACUGGGCGUAAAGGCGCGUAGGCGGCCAGCACAAGUCAGUUGUGAAAUCUCCGGGCUUAACUCGGAAAGGUCAACUGAUACUGUGCGGCUAGAGUGCAGAAGGGGCAACUGGAAUUCUCGGUGUAGCGGUGAAAUGCGUAGAUAUCGAGAGGAACACCUGCGGCGAAGGCGGGUUGCUGGGCUGACACUGACGCUGGUGCGCGAAAGCCAGGGGAGCGAACGGG
rnacentral:rRNA from 1 species